rnacentral:misc_RNA from 1 species
AACGCAUAUUGCGCUCUUUGGUAUUCCGAAGAGCAUGCUUGUUUGAGUAUCAGUAAACACCUCACAAUCAAAUUUUAUUAUUUGAGAGUGGACUUGAGUGAUCCCUACUCUUUUUUCCUUUCUGGAAAAAAGGGGCCGGUUACUUGAAAUGCAGGUGCAGCUGGACUUACAACUGAGCUAUAAGCAUAUCUAUUUAGUCUCGUAAAACAGAUUAUUCAUUUUGCUAAAGCUACUCUAAGGUUGUAUUUCUAUAUGGCUGACUGAUGCAGGAUUCACAAGAUGGAAUUUUUUCAUUUUGUAAACUCGAUCUCAAAUCAAGCAAGACUACCCGCUGAACUUAA